rnacentral:rRNA from 1 species
GUAACGACUCUCGGCAACGGAUAUCUCGGCUCU